UCAAUCAUGGAUAUCUUGGAUCCUUUUACGAUGAAGAACGUAAUAAUAUAUGAAAAGGGAUGAAAAGUAUGUUUUCGUGAGACAUCAGUUGUAGUAUUUGAAUGCAAG
rnacentral:rRNA from 14 species